ACCUGCGCAGCAAAGACGCUCAUAAACGAACAUCAAUGUAUUUCUGCUCCGCUACAAUUGUUGUGUUGUUUGUUGCUAGACUACUGAUGCCAGAGAAAUAGCUGGAGAAACAACAUCAGAGGAUUUAUGAUAGAAGACUAUUAAAUUAUAUUUCCAUUUCUGCAUCGUUUAUUCCCGAGCAACGGUGUAAUACGAGAGAUUCUAUAGCUAAGGCAAACGUGUCAACGUAGCGAAAUGAAGCACAGGAAAAUGACAAGAACACGCAAGGAGAGGUCCUCCAACUGUCCACUUUCUCCAAAGAGAGAUUAGUUUAUCAUUUUAUAAUCUCUAUCAAACUUCAACGAUGUCUCUCGUGGCCAGCGAUAUCCCGACGGACGAAGACCUAGAAGAUAUGGUUGAGGAUGGACUUUCUCUUGCUACCUACAUAUCAGACUCUGGAAAGAAAGCCAGGAAAAAGAGUAUGUCUGGUAAACCUCCCCCUUCUCCCAGGUCUCCGUAUCUCUCCAGUAUGGAUGUGAACCAGAGGAGGUCAGCGGUGUCAGCUUG